GAUGAACGCUGGCGGCGUGCCUAACACAUGCAAGUCGAACGAAGCACCUUACCUGAUUCUUCGGAUGAAAGUUUGGUGACUGAGUGGCGGACGGGUGAGUAACGCGUGGGUAACCUGCCCUGUACAGGGGGAUAACAGCUGGAAACGGCUGCUAAUACCGCAUAAGCGCACGAGGAGACAUCUCCUUGUGUGAAAAACUCCGGUGGUACAGGAUGGGCCCGCGUCUGAUUAGCUGGUUGGCAGGGUAACGGCCUACCAAGGCAACGAUCAGUAGCCGGUAUGAGAGGAUGAACGGCCACAUUGGAACUGAGACACGGUCCAAACUCCUACGGGAGGCAGCAGUGGGGAAUAUUGCACAAUGGGGGAAACCCUGAUGCAGCAACGCCGCGUGAGUGAAAAAGUAUUUCGGUAUGUAAAGCUCUAUCAGCAGGGAAGAUAAUGACGGUACCUGACUAAGAAGCUCCGGCUAAAUACGUG
rnacentral:rRNA from 1 species